rnacentral:rRNA from 1 species
CAGCUCUCCGAGUGGUAGGGAUGUUUAUUGGGCUUAAAGCGUCCGUAGCCGGCUUAGCAAGUCUCCUGUUAAAUUCAGCGACCUAAUCGUUGAGCCGCGGGAGAUACUACUAGGCUAGGAGGCGGGAGAGGUCGACGGUACUUCUGGGGUAGGGGUGAAAUCCUAUAAUCCCAGGAGGACCACCAGUGGCGAAGGCUGCUGACUAGAACACGUCUGACGGUCAGGGACGAAAGCUGGGGUAGCGAACCGGAUUAGAUACCCGAGUAGUCC